CUGCUCCGAACCUCACCUUACCUCCGGUUUUGCCCCCACAAUUUUGUUUUUUCUAAGGUUAGUUUUGGAAUUUUAAUCUAGGGUUGACGGUGGUUGGUAAUGAGAAAUCGCCACGGGCUGAGCUCCCUGCUUUAUAGUGGAAAGGAACAGAAGAAAACAAUGUAAUCGGGUUUGCCAGAAGAGUCUUCAGCUUCACUCCCUGUUUUUGCUUUGUAUUUAGGUGUGAAUCACAAGCUUCUCUCAAGGGGGACAUCAACCAUGAUUGCACCACUUAUAGGUGCUAAUUCUAUUUCAAACAUUUCCCUGAAACACCAAUUUAAUAUGCAUGCUCCCUCGCUUUCUAGAGCCCAACCCUAACGCCUCACUCGGUCCUUUAUGAUUAACACCCCAAUCCUUAGACCUUGAUGGAAUUCCUCUCCGCUUUUUUCAAGAUUUCUGGGAGUGAAAUUAUAAGCUUUAAUCAACUAGUAAUUUCUCGUUCUAUGAAGCCAUGAUUGUUCAUUAUGUUGUUCAAGAGUGGAUAUUCCUGUGUCUAAUUUUCCAUUGCAAGCAGGUUCCAAAAUGCUUUUACGAAUGCAGACACGUAUCGCUCUUCGCAAGGGCUCCUCUGCACGUCUACUGUGGUUGAAGGACGAGAAAACACAUAGAAAACAGUGGUGUACAGCAAUAGACCGACCCUUCGCCAGAAAAAGGAAUACUCAUUCACCUUGGGCACGCACAUCAUACGUUCGACCAAAUGUCACUCUUUGUUUGGCUUGUUCUCGGCAACAUUAGUUAGGUACAAGACAACAGAGAACUCCAAAAAAAAAAAAAUGGUAGUGAUGGACAAGUAAUUCAUUUGAACACGAACUCUGGAGGCAUGGAAUUGAAGAUGGGCCAGUGAUUGAGAAAGAAUGAAUGGGGAAUGGCAUGAUGGCCACAGGCGAGCCGACGGGUCCUGCUUCAAAAAUGAUGGUGGGAUUUGAUUGAUUAGGCUUUGCCUGUGCCCCGUGUUUGACAAGAGUUUCCUGAGGUUUCAGUGGAGGGUCCAACUCAAAUUGAUCGCAACGCGUUUGGAAUUGACUAGUUAGAUCUCUUGUUGCACAGAUAUGUAUGACUCUGGGUUCUAGAUGCAAUCUUCUGCAAUUAAUGAGAGAUUUUUCUUUGGGUUAUUCUGUCAAAAAGGACUUGUCGGUUAUAAUUAAAGGAAAGAUAUAUAUAUAUAUAUAUUCACAACUUCCUCAGCUAAAUAUCGCAACUCGCAAGGGGAAAAAAGAUGCUUUCUUCAGACGAAAUGAUGCUCCAGAAUGAAUGCAGAGUGCCGACGAAAGCUUAGAACGCGAGGCCAAGUGGACAACUCUCAGAGAUGUAAUACCAAAGUCUAAAGAAUAAUUACACUUCCAUAUCAAAGUGGCAGGGCAUCGCUUAUCAUUACGUCGGUGAUGUUUAAUAGGACUUCUUUCAUCCAUCCUUGGGUCCCCAUGCCCUCCCAUACCACAUCGAGACGAACAUGUGGACAUUGCCUUUUUUUUUUCCCCCUUCGCCUUUGUAACAAAAUUUGCACCGAGAAAAACUUUUUUUUUUUUUAACAGAAAAAGAACCCACCAUCAACCAGAAUGUGAGAAAAAUGAGUGGGUUCAGCGGCCAUGAAACUGCUUCAUUCACGGCUUCCACGAAGCUGCCGUUGCUUUGGUUGCUCUGAAAACGAAGUAUUUGUUGCUCUCUACAAGUUGAACUGCAAAAGAAUGAAGGAAUACUUUUGGCGAAAGACAUAAUGCAAUGGGGAAAAACAUAUCAUGCUAGCUCACGAGCCAACUUGCACGAGAAUUUGUAACCUUUCUAAAUUACUGAAGUGUUUCAAUAUUUCGUCUCCUAACGUACACUUUUUUCUAGUCAAACUACUAAUCUUUUUUGCAUUUCAACACGUUUGUUUUCUUUUUCUACGUAAACUUCCCAUUUCGUCUUCAAUUAAUAUUAAUUUGUGAACAAACAAAUUCAUUAAAUAGGAUAGGAUCGUUGGUUUAGAUCACCUCGUUGAGUUUGAUUUUGUAGCUCAUUUGUCAUGAUCCAACAGAGAAUGAAGGAAACAUAAUACUUUUUUCGGCGGCCAAAGAAAAUUAAAGAUUAGUUUACCUAGACUUGGCUUCUCCUUUCCAAACCUUGUGGAAAUCGACCCUCAUUCCCCUCCAACUGAUUUUUGCUCCAGGGUUCGGCUACAUAUUCUUCUUUUUUAAUCUAGACCCUUCUGAAAUUGUUCGGCCAUUUUAGGUGUGGAUGCAGUGAUAUCAUGAGGCCGGAGCUAGUGCUUAAAUCCGCUUUACAUGUGGUCUUGCUGGGGUUUCUGCUCAGGCAUCAUUGAUGCUAUGUUAGGAGAUGCUGGUGUUAGGCCCCUUUGACUAUGGCCCAACAUUAAGGAGAUAUAGAAGAGCAUUGUAAAGGGAACAGCACUGGCAUCUUUAAUUUGGAGAUUUGAUGUGGAUAUUUCAAAUGUUAGUGCUGAAGGAAGUUGGAAGGGCACCAUUAUAGUAUUGCAUUCGUCAACGCUGCAAUGAUAAAAUUGACUUCUGUGUGCGAAAGUCAAAUAGCAAAAGCUAUUUUGUCGAAAUGAUUCUCACUGUCAUCUUUGCGAGCCAAUCAAGUGCUGAUUACCACAAAUUCAUGACAGUUUUGGGAAGCUCAUGCCAAACUGUUAUUUCAUUCUGGAAGGGAGAUGCGAUCUCCCUUCAACUGGUUUCCUCUGUUUGAAUUCUGAUCAAUUGGUGGAUGUGAUGCAAGUGAUCUGUCUACGAAGCGUUCUGUUGUGGAUUUCCUCUGCCGUGUUCCCCCUAAAACAGGCUUCACAGCAUCAAACUUGACCAUGGCGGCAGCGGCGAAAGCAACGGCUUGAAUGUUACAUGAAGAGCACAUGGCAAGUCAAGGGAGGAUAACGACGAUCUAGGGGAAGUUAACAAUGGCGGAUUUGCCUUUGAUAAACAUAGCGGUGACAUUAUGGGCUUGAGUAGUCAUUUUUAGGGGGCAAAAGUGUUGAGCCAAAUGCGAGACUUCUUAUGAGGCUCACAAAUCUUGGACGCCCAUUUUUCCUAGCUUUAAAUUUGGAUUUCAAUCUAUGGUAGUAUGGGAGCUUGCUGGUAGAAAAGGAGGAGAAAAAAGAAGAAGAAGAGGACGAUGAAGAAGAAGGGAGGGCAAAAUUACUCCAUUUAAAGUUCCAGAAGAAAUAAGCUUCAAAUAAAGUUCAGGAUGCCCAGUGCCCCUGAAGAAAAAUUUUUAGGGCAAAUAUGCUAUUUAACCCUUGAUCAAAUUUUAGUUUAACGGUCAACAUUUUUUAUAUUUAACGGUGGGAUAAAAAUGCUCUCUUUUUGAAAUUUAGAGCAAAAAUGCUCCAAAAAAUGUUUAGGGUGCCAAGCGCCCCUGGAGAAAAGCAAAUUUGCCAUUUAACCCUAUCUUAACAAAGGAAGAAGAGAAAUAGAGAGAGGAGAGGCAGAUGAGAGAUAAAGAGGGAAAGAGAUUAAUUCAUUUCAUUCACAAUGACCUAUUACAACCUAGAGACCUAUUUAUAAAUAAUGGAAUCAAAUACCUAAACUACCCUUAUAUCUCUAAUUCUCCUAAUUACUCCUAUCACUCCUAAUUCCCAUGAAUCAAUCCAUGUAUCUGUUAAAUCUCUUGAUGGUAUUGAAAUGUAUCUCUCCUUUGUUUAUGGCUUUCCGAGAGUAGAAGAUAGAUAUAUUCUCUGGAAUUGAAUUGAAUCUCAAUCUGCUUUGAUAAAAGGAAAAUGGUUAAUUUUUGGUGAUUUUAAUCAAUGUGCAUAUGGAAUUGAUAAAUCCAUAAGUUGUGGGAAUAUUAGGGAGCAGAUCACUUUAACAAAGUUACUAAUGACUGUAAUUUGACAGAAGUUUCUCAAAAAGGGCGUUGGUUUACCUGGACUAAUAAAAGGUUGGGAACGGAUGAGGUUUGGGAAACGCUAGAUAAGGCUUUCAUAAGUCAUUCUUGGCUGUCCUCUUUUCCUGUUUCCCACUUAUUGGUACUUUCUGUUGUUGCUUCUGACCAUGCUCCCCUAGUCUUUUCAAGUUUUUUUUUUUUAAAUCAUAAUGUGAGUGCUAAAAGGCUAUGUAGAUUUGAAUUUUUCUGGCUAAAAUUCCAAGACUGUCAUGAUAUAGUCAGAAAUUGUAAGAGUUUGAAUUUCCCUGGCUUCCGGGUUUUAAAUUACACUCUAAGCUGACUAUAACAAUGAAAAGCCUCUACAGUUGGAAUAAAAACAGAAUUGGGAACCUCUCUUGGAGGAUUCAAAACUUGGAAAAGCAACUAGAAUCUGAACAAGCAAACUCUGAAUUUUCUAAAGCGGCUGAAACAAUAUUCUUGUUACAGUUCCUUCUUGAAUGUGAAGAUUCUCUUUGGCUCCGAAGAUUAAAAAAAUGGCAAGACAACUUCAAGGAGAUAGAAAUACCAAAUUUUUUCACUCACUGGUGAAGACUAACUAAGCAACUAAUAGAAUCGACCAGAUUUAGGAUGAGGAGAAUUCUUGGACUUUCGAUCCAAUCAAGGUUGUGUCCCUAGCUAUCAAUCAUUUUACUAAUAUCUACUGUUCUUAAAUUUCUGCAUCCUGGGAUGAAAGUUCUUAUUUUGUGUCGAGAUUGAAUCUUCCAAAGCUAAGUCUAGAUUAUGUCAACUUCUUGAUGGAAAUUUUUACCUCUGAUGGAGUUGAAAAGACAGUUUUUGACUUACCAGAUGAUAGUGCCCCAGGCUUUGAUGGUUUUCAUGCAAAAUUCUUUCAACACUACUAGAACUUAUUUGGUGAAGAUGUCUACAGCAUGGUUUUUACCUUUCGUGAUUGAGGAUUUCUCCUUAAGAAUUUGAGCAAAACCUUAAUUCAUCUCAUUCCCAAAUGUGAAGUUCCUCAAACUUUCAAAGACUUCAGACCUAUCAGCCCUUUCAGUGUAGCUUACAAAAUUAUCUCUAAGGUCAUCAUAAAUAGGAUCAAAUGUAUUCUUGAUGAUUAUAUCUCUCCUCACCGAACUGCAGUUAUCUAGGGCAGAUUAAUCUAGGACGAUAUUUCGAUAGCAUUAGAGUUGCUACACUACAUUCACUCAACGAAGAAGCAGAAGGGCUGCUGGAAUGCACUUACAAUUGAUUUCUCUAAUGCCUUUUAUAAGGUUUCUUGGUCUUUCUCGCAUCAAAUUCUCUCAGAGAUGAACUUUCCUCCAAUAUGGGUAUCCAUGAUAAUUGAAUGUGUUACCAUGGUUUCAUAUCAGCUUCUAAUAAGUGGAAGACUCUCAAAACAAUUCUUUCCUUGCAGAGGAGGCAGAUAGGGAGACCCACUCUCCCCUUAUCUUUUCAUCUUGAGCGCAAAUGCUCUUUCUCUUCACAUGGAUAAUAUGGAGGCUCAAGGCAAAAGAAAAGGUGUUAGGAUUUGUAGGAAUGCCCAUCCUAUUACUCAUUUGAGUUAUGCGGACAACACCUUCUUGUUCUUCCAAGCUAGCAAUCACUUUUGUGUAGUGGUUAAAAAAAAAAAAAUUGAUGAUUUCUGCUACCAUUCUCUCUGAUAGAAAAAGAAUGUCUGCUAAUAUUUUGAACAAGAUUAGUAAAAAGCUUUGCGGUUGGAAAGCUUCUUUACUAUCCCUUAAGCGGCCAUAUUGACUUUGAUCAAAUAUGUGAUUUCUUCUUCUUGUUUUUGUCAACUGCCUUGUUUUCUCUUACCCAGAUAUAUGGGCCCAAAUAUGGAUUCAAUUUGUGCAAAUUUCUUUUGGGGCUCCUCAACUCUAGAAAUAAGAGAAUGCAUCUUCUUUCCUAGCGAAAGUUAUGUUGCAGUGUUGACAAGGGAGGACUGGGUUUUAGGCCUUUCAAUGAGAUGAAUAAGGCUCUCUUGGCACAACAGGCAUGGAAAAUCAUCACGUCUAAUGAUAGCUCCCUUAUUGGAAGAGAAGUUAAGUAUCAAAAAUCGAUUCUGGAAGGAAAUUGCAAGGCUAAAGCUAGUUAUUCUUGGAUCUUGAAGGAUGUGCUUAAGGUAUCAUUUCUAAUUGUGGACAACCUAAAAUGACAGGUUGGUAAUGAAAGCAACAUUCCAAAUAGUCACGUGAAGUGGUUUACUUUAUGCAGUAAUGGUGGCAAUAGUAAUUUGACUGUUGCAAAGCUUGUUGACAAAGAUCAUGCUAUUUGAAAUGAGCAACUUAUAUCCUCUCUUUAUUGCCGCAAUAUAAGGGAUGAUAUACUAAGAACACCUAUCUUCUUUUUUGACCAGAAUUAUUUUCUUAUCUGGACUAAGGCUAAUGAUAGAGUUUACUCAGUUAAAAAAGGUUUCUCUUCUCUUAUUAUGGCUGAACACAAUCUAAGUUUGUCUUCUGCACAAGGAGUGAACAGGAAAGAGUACAGGAAAAUCGAGCUACCAUUCAGGGUUAUAUUAUUCUCUUGAAAGAUCAUCAAUGAAACUAUUCCUACUCCUGACAUUUUGAAGAAACAUCACUUGCAGAGUGAAGGCUGUUUUGUCAUUUGUGGUAAUGAAGAGGAGACUGCGAAUCAUAUUUUCAUCCAUUGUGAUCUCGCUAGAGCUAUGUGGUUCUCUUCAAGCCUCUCUAUCAGAACUGAGGGAGUACCCAACGUUAGAUCUUUCAUUAUUGGGUGCAUUAACAAAGUUGCAACUGAUAAGGAUUGGUUAAAUCAGUUAAAGGAAAUCUUGCUCGCGGUUCAAGCUCUCUGGGAAUGUAGGAAUAGGAAAAAAAAUUCAAUUCGGAAGCUAUAUCCCCAAAAGUAAAAGAGAUGAUCAAUAGGGCCAUAGCUAAUAUUGAUGUCUCAUUAGCAGAUGCAGAGAAGCAAAAGCAAAAAGAAAAAGCUUGGCAAACUAUACAUACCAACCAAAUUACAUCCAAGAGGAACUCUCCUCUGGCAGCAAGAGUUUGAAGAGGUUGGUUCCUUUUCCUCGACUUAAAUCACAUUAUACAGGGAGGAAGAAACAAGUCAAGAAAGAGAAAAAUCCUUAUUUUCCAUAAUUUUAUGUUCAUUGUUGAAAGAAAAAGUGUAGCAAGGCAAGGCAGAUGCAGUUUGCGCUGAUGGAAUUGCGUGCGGCACUCAAGAUAACUGACUUGGAUAUCUUUGGCCCACCAGGUUUUUCUAAUUUUUCUUUGGUGUUCAUCAAGAAAGCUGUUUUUGUGAAUGUCUUCAGCUAGACUUACGAAGAGCCUACUAGAAAAAUCCUGAGAAAAGACAUGCACUCUCUGCUAAAUCUCUUCAGGUUCAACUGGUUGCAAAUUCUGCCAGAACAUUAGGAAGAAUGGUGGAAGUCUAUUUCUCACUCUUUUGAUUGUCCCAAUUUUUAUUUUCCUGUGUGACUUUUAUGAACUUUGUGACUUUGUAGUUGAUGUUUAGUCAAAAAAGAAAAAGAAGGAUAGACCAAGAAUUUAUUAUUACAUUUUUAAAAAUAGUUA